ACCUUUCACUUUGCGGUUUGUAAGCAGUUUUAUCCGAAAAUUUAACUAAUAAUUUUUAUGGAUAUUAUCAAAGAAGAGGAGAAAUAUUUAGCAAAAUGUGCAUUGAAAGACAAAUUUUGAUAACGGAAAAAUUUAUAGCCCCAUUUCUCUACCACUAAAUAAUGAAGAAUCAGCAGACUUUUCCUGAAUGGCAGUUUUAUUUUGGUUUUUGGGAGAAAAUACUACAACUCUAUCGGGAAUUAGAAUCUACAGAUGAGAUCAUUCUGUUAUAACUUCGCUGUAGUGUUUCUAUUCUUUUUCAAGCUUUUACAUUUAAUAGCGUCUGCAAGAUUUCAAGGUUAGGUGGGAAAGAAAAGACUUGGAUCGCAAUGCUGAAGGCCAGGACCAUCCUUUCGCGACUGGUUGGAUGUCAACGUCGAGCCUUGUUUAUGAACACCACAGCUGCCUAUAUGAAAGAACCGCAUAUGAAUGAUUUUCACUUUCCGUAUCCUAAUGCAGAAGCUUGGGCUGAUGGCUAUCGCAGACGACAGAAGAGAAAUAACUUUGUCCUGGGAGUGGGUCUGGUCCUCUUUGGAAUUACUGCCUUUUCUACGUACCUGACGAUCAUUUUACCUGCACUUCCACCUACCCAUGACGAGGCUGCCGUGUUAAAGAACUAAGUUAUCUGAAUAAAAUAAAAACUUUUAAAUAAUUUGCAAGUAUUCGUGGCAGUCAAAUAUGAUUUUUAAAUAAAUUCUUUUCAUAUUUA
rnacentral:misc_RNA from 1 species